AAUAAUCGUACGCUAAAUGGUAAAGUGGUUAUCUUACACAUAACUGGCAGUAGUUUUAAUUUACUAUUCUCUAUUAUU
rnacentral:tRNA from 1 species